GGGGCCCAGAAAGGGGCUUGUUUAUCUGUGAUGAACGGAGCAAAGGGGCCCCCUUGUGAAAUCAGGGCUGAGCCCAGAGACCCCCUGUGUCCGCAGACACCAAACAGGCCUCGUCCCGCAGGGUGACACGGCGUCGAACACCGCCCGCCGCUGGGGGGCUCAUGCACCAGCCGCUGCCAGGGCUGCCCUGCGGCCGUCCCGCCGCACAGACGCGGGCACGCGCGGGCCGAGACGCCCCCUCCGCGCCUCCGGCUUCCCGCAGGCGCCGCCCGGGCCCCUCCGCGCCCGGGCUCGUCGGCCCUCCUCGGUCUGCGCGCCAGGCCCGUCUGCUUCCCGGGGCAGGGCCUUCCUCACGUGGCAACCCCGCAGGGUGUCUGCCGCCUGCUUCUUGCAGCCUCACUCCCGCGCUUGCUUGCUCGCCGCUCUGUGCCUUGUCCUCCUGCCCCCGGAGCUUGGAACACGGGAGCUGCCGCUAAUGUGCAUUGUGCUGUAUUGUUUGAGAACGUUCCUUUCUGCUGUGGAAGAAAACAAAUAGAAUGGAUGAAACGCAUCAAGGCGUGUUAAGCACAGAGGCUGGUGAGCUCCGUCUGCGGCGGUGGCCCUGCCGUGAGUCAGCAGGCCUGCAGUAGCCUCCCUGGCGCUCAGGUUGCUCUCUGGAUCCUCUGCUGCUCCAGCUGCCGUGUUAGACUUCCUGACCCUGAAGGCUGCCUGAAGAAACGGUGCUGUGAUUUUUAGAUACUGUGCACCAGCUGCCACCUGAUUCUUCUGACCACCCCAGGACCUGCCUGUUACCCGCAUGAGUCAGGAGUGGGUGACCUAAGAACUGGAGAGGCCUGAAAUGUUAGAGCCGGACAAGGGCUUGGAGACAGUCGCCCGUGGCUGUGGACUGCUUGAAAUGCUAGCUGUCAAUAUCAUCACUCACUCCCUCAAGUUUAUUAUUAAGGAAAUUGAAUUCUUCAGCGGAGAGAGGGGUGUUUGAUGUCUCCAACAUAUACAGGUGGAGAAAGUCUGAACGUCACGUGGAACAAAGGAGUCCCUUCCACAGAUUCUCUAUGGUGACCAUCCUUCUUCACUGAGAACUUCUUUCAGGAAAAAAUGGAAAAUUGUCCCAUUUUUUGAGUUAUUUGGUAAAAAAAGGCAUUACAUUUAUCAUUUAAAAUAUGUCCAGUCUUUCAAUAAAUACUGUGCAGCUAGUUGUAUUAUUUCGUAACCUAAAUACUUGGUAGUGGUAGCACGUUCAUUCAUUCAACAAAUAUUUGAGCUCCUGCUGUGUGCCAGAUUUUGUUCCAGCUCCCAGGAGAAAGUGUGAACCACGUCAAAGAUCUUCCUCUCACAGGCCUCACAAGGGUGGAGAGGCGGAAGGAGGAAAAGUCAGGUGAGCAAAUGAACAGACCGGGUAACGGCAGCUCGUGCCACGCAGCGUGAGUC